rnacentral:lncRNA from 1 species
UUACCUCAACGGCUGCCCACAUAUGAUUCAACUUUUCUUGUUUAAUAUCAUUCCACGAUGAUACUCCCAAUGGACAUAUAUUACGAUCACGAACAAUUUUUCCCAAAUGCCUCGAAAACAAUUUGCUAUUUGUUCCAACCGUUCAAUUAUUGUAAAAGGUUACUUUCAGCUUUUGUCCAAUUUCAAGUGCAGCAACUUCUUUGCACAUGUU